AUUGAACGCUGGCGGCGUGCCUAAUACAUGCAAGUAGGACGCAGUUGCGAACGGGUGAGUAACGCGUAGGUAAGUACCUAUUAGAGGGGGAUAACUAUUGGCAACGAUAGCUAAUACCGCCUACUAGUAGAUGGACCUGCGUUGUAUUAGCUAGUAGGUAGGGUAAAGGCCUACCUAGGCAAAGAUACAUAGCCGAGCUGAGGAGGAUGUCGACCACACUGGGAAUGGGACAAGGGCCAAGCUCCUGCAGGAGGGAGCAGUAGGGGAACUUCGGCAAAUGGGGGAACCCUGGCCGAGGCACGCCGCGUGGGUUGAUGAGGGUUUCGGGGCGUAAAAGUAUGUUGUGAAGGAAGCGGUACUUGACCAGAAAGGAACGGCUAACUACGUGCCAGCAGCCGCGGUAAUUC
rnacentral:rRNA from 1 species